rnacentral:rRNA from 2 species
UACGUAGGGGGCAAGCGUUGUCCGGAAUCAUUGGGCGUAAAGCGCGUGUAGGCGGUUUUGUAAGUCUGCUGUGAAAGUCGGAGGCUCAACCUUCGAAUGCCAGUGGAUACUGCAAGACUUGAGUACGGAAGAGGAGAGUGGAAUUCCUGGUGUAGCGGUGAAAUGCGCAGAUAUCAGGAGGAACACCAACGGCGAAGGCAGCUCUCUGGGACGUUACUGACGCUGAGACGCGAAAGCGUGGGGAGCAAACAGG